UACGUAGGGCGCAAGCGUUGUCCGGAAUUAUUGGGCGUAAAGAGCUCGUAGGCGGCCUGUUGCGUCCGCUGUGAAAUCCCGGGGCUUAACCCCGGGCGUGCAGUGGAUACGGGCAGGCUGGAGGCAGGCAGGGGAGAACGGAAUUCCUGGUGUAGCGGUGGAAUGCGCAGAUAUCAGGAGGAACACCGGUGGCGAAGGCGGGUCUCUGGGCAGUAACUGACGCUGAGGAGCGAAAGCGUGGGGAGCGAACAGG
rnacentral:rRNA from 1 species